rnacentral:lncRNA from 1 species
GGCCAUCCUGAUACCAGCACAACAUGGCUGCUUAGUUACAGGGCGGGGGGAGAGGAAGGGCCCUGGGUCACUUUCCUGGAAAUUCAAAAAGUUUAACAGACUCUGGAGGAGAAAGUGGACUUUCUCAAAAGACAAGGACUUUGUUCAACUCUGCCACACGUAAAUGCGAUCCAGGUGCAAGUCAAGUCAUCACCCAGCGAAACCAUCCGAGAACCAACAAAAAAGUGACCUAGCACUGAUCUGAGCCUUGAAG